GCUGUUGAUCUGUGCCUUAGAAGCUUUGGUGAGUUACUGCCAUAUAUGGACAUAAGGGCAGGCCGAGCCGAUGACCUCGUUUCAAGAUGUCUGCUACCUACCUUCCGGGUAGCCUUGUGAGGCAUAAACGAAAUCAACAUGGAUUACGUUGAUUCACACCGUAAACCAGGAUACCACAUAUCAUGAGGAUGUUUUAUUAGUCUGCAUGUGACCUACAGUUAUUGAUCACCACCCCCGUUGAUUUUACACAACGUUUUCACCAAACAGCAAAGGAGAAAAUCUACAUUUUGCCAUUACAUCAAAGAGGAUAAAAACAGCAGCACAAUUUGAUGUCUGCUGGCCAGUCCAGUUGUCAGCCAACCAGAAGUGAUGAGGAAGAGGAAAAGGGUGAGGUGUGAGAUUAUUGGUACAUGCAGGUACUGUGCCCUAAAGAGAAGCCCGCAUUAUACAGAGGAUGGAGUAGGUUGGCCUGAUCCUAGAUCUGUUUCACCAAUGCAAGCUCUAAAUGAUCAUUAGCUGACCAGCUGAGUUGGCAAGACGGCACAAACAGAUCUGGAACCAGGCUAUGGGUGGGGGUAAUGAGUGGAGAAAGAUUUGUUGCAUAUUGUGCUGUAGUAACUGGCUAGAGCGUUAACCAUGUGUCAGCUGGUUUAACCAUCGCCCUCAUCUUUCUUGUCCUUCUCUUCGUCGCUCGGUAAGUCCGGCAGUCGGAAACACUCCUCAAAGAAGUUGACCAGUGAUUGGCUCAGGUGUUGCCGAGUGCCAUCGCUAUGCAGGAAGUGUCCCUCGUCUGGGUAGAUCUACAUUACAAAAACAGAAAAUAAUAUGUGAAGAGCACAUGUCAAAAGGUCAUUUGAAAACAGAGGUAAGGAAAAGGACAAGACAAGUAAUUAUGGAAAUGAAUGGACAAAGUCUAAUAUAAUCCACCAAUGCCCACCAGGUGGCAACAUAGACCUCCCAGGAAGGCCUCCUAUGAGAAAAAUAGUACAAACAGGCAGCAACCAUUCCCUGAGACAGACUAACUCCAAAGACCUUGGCUGUGGGUUCUCUGAUUCAGUUGACAGAAUAUGAGGAUGGUCUACGAGGGAUGAUGAAGACCAGCAUGCAGCGAUUGUGUGUGGGAGAGUGGUGAUUGGGUAUAUUGGACAUUGAACAACCAUGUUGAGUCAUCGAUCCCCUCUCUAAGAAUGAGAUACGGAUUAUGAAAUAACUCAUUGACGGCAUUCAAGAACAGUGGACAACACAAUCUUCAGUACAGUAUGACAGCAGACAUCCAACCAUUUCUAUUGCUGCAUAGAAGACUGCUGUAUAAAAGACCAUAUGGAUAAUUACAGGGCAUGAAUAGCAGGGUUGGGGUCAAUUCUGAAUUGCAUUGUGAUUUGCUCUUUAAUUCCAAUAAAAUUAUUUGAUUUGAAUCUGAAUUAGCCACACCCCAUAGAAAGCAGAAUUUGAAUAUGGAGGAAAAACAGGUGCAUAAAAAAUGUAUGUAAAAAAUAUAAUUCAUUCCAUUCCAUUCCCCAACCCCAACCCCCUCAAUGCACCAACAACCAAGAUAAUUAACAAAAGAGACAGAAGAAAACAGCAAACAA